rnacentral:sRNA from 1 species
UUGGCCAAGAAACUGGUAGCGUCUGGUGUGGCGAGCCAACAAAAGGCUGGCAGCGUGGCCAACACCGGACUUGGACCCGGAUCCGGCAAUCGCUAUCCGGGUCCAUGUCCACGUCCACGCUGCGGCUGCCAAUUGAGCGGAGUUGAGUUUGAGUUUGUGCUUGAAUUUGACGCGUAGCCAGCCAAGAAAAGUGGCCAGCCAACAACAAGGUGACGCAGGAUGUGGCCAAAAGCACCAGAAGGGAAGAUGCAGACCUACAGCGGAUGGAGGUGGAGGUGGAGGAGUGCACUUUUUGGCCACGGUCCGCAUUUGAUUAGCCAACUCAAACACAUCAGGGCCAAGAUCAGGGCAGCAAAAAAAACAAACAACCGCAACCUGAUGGCCCAUUGACAGCUCCCUGUCUCUCUCCGGCACACACCCACACCCGGACACCACUAACACACACACACACACAUUCGUCGUAUGUAGCAUGGAUGUGCCACAGUGAAGCCCGGGCAGUAGUGAACACCUGACGCUGUCCAAACUGAUACUCGCGUCCGUCUCAAUUAUACAGCAAAUAAGAAGUAAAACAAACAAUUAAAUAAAAAACGAGUAUUGCUUCGCAGCUGACAACAACAGCAACAACAACCAGUUGCUCUGCGGUGUAAAAGUGUGUGUAUUCGCGCGCAUGUAUGUGUGUGUGUGUGAGUGUGUGACGGCGUGGAAACUGACCAUCGUUUGGUGCCAAAACAAAAAAGGAGAGAGAUCCUGUCCAAAAAGUAACCCUGGCUCGGACCCAAAACAACGGAAACAACAACAGCCAUGAUUUGGCAAGUCGAUUGUUUCAUCUGGCCAGGCUUAAUGAAAGGACUCGUACUUGUCCUGACCAUCAGCACGUCAAGCGAGGCAAACGCCAGCGAAGCCUCAAAGGAUAAGCAUCUCCAGCACCAUCGGAGGGUGACUCCAGAAAAUAUUUCCCAAAAUAUUCCAACUGGAGAAACCAUUCAAAAUACUUGGAAUUUUGGAGUACCACCAUCAACUCCAAAAACUGCAAUUUCGAAGAAAAAAAAUACAAAAAAAUUUAAAAAAAAAAAAUAUUCGAAAGCAAUUUUCCAUCAAAAGGAGCCUUAACAACUACAGCCCCAAUUAUAUAAAUAAACCCAAAUAUUCAGUAAUAUACUUAGUUCCACAACUAUAAACAAUAAUCGCCUAUGAUAUAACCAUAAAAUAUCCAAAGAAACAAUAACUCCACAGAUACUAUAUAGCCCUUUGAAAUAUGACUCAAUAAUAGUUGCAUAAGCCGUAGAAAUAUGGUACAAAAUAAUACGUGAAUAACUCAAAGUCAAAAGGGUUAUAGCGCAAAACAAUUAUAUUUUAUUAAUGAACACUUCAAAGCAAUAUAAAUAUAAUACUGUAAAAUAAUAAACCGGCUCAUGGUGAUUUGUGGCAAGGUCAAAGUGGAAGAUGCUAAACCAUUAUCAGGAAAAAAAGUGGAGCCGUGGAGAGCAUCUGAACGAGGAAAAGUGCCGGAAAAUGCAACUAAUGGCCUAAAGGAAGCCUCGUUGGCCAAUUGAGGAGGAGAACCUGAAAAGUCGAGCCGAAUUGCCGUUGCAACCGCCGAAGGCCUUACCAACCAAUGGCGACGCACAGCGGCAACGAAGCCCGGCCAGAUGGAAGGGGUAUUACCGGGAAACGGAUUUGAGCAAAGCGCCCAAGCAAGCUUUGCAGCUAGGAAUGCAAUUCUUGGCAACGUGACAAGCAGCCCCGCAAGGAGUCCACUCACACACACAAUCCAGCAAACGAAGUUUUCCGCUUGGCUCACACGUCGUAUGAGUAAUAUAUCCCGUAUACGCCUGUUGGCCGGGCAGAAAAUUUUCAACAACAGUUUGUGUGUGUUUGUGGGCCGAAGGGUUGCCGAAAGGAGUGUUGCCAACUGCAUUCUCGGCUGCCGGCUAUAUAGUUUGCGCAACUCCUGACCC